rnacentral:rRNA from 1 species
UACGUAGGGGGCAAGCGUUGUCCGGAAUCAUUGGGCGUAAAGAGCGUGUAGGCGGCUCGGUAAGUCCGCUGUGAAAGUCCAGGGCUCAACCCUGGAAUGCCGGUGGAAACUGUCGAGCUAGAGUCCAGAAGAGGCGAGUGGAAUUCCUGGUGUAGCGGUGAAAUGCGCAGAUAUCAGGAGGAACACCAAUGGCGAAGGCAGCUCGCUGGGACGGUACUGACGCUGAGACGCGAAAGCGUGGGGAGCAAACAGG